rnacentral:rRNA from 1 species
GGCGCACGGGUGAGUAACGCGUACACGACUACCUUUGACUGGGGGAUAGCCCUGGGAAACUGGGAUUAAUACCGCAUAUAAUUCUGAAUAAUAAAGGUUUGGAAUGAAAGUUCAGGCGGUCAGAGAUGGGUGUGCGUCUGAUUAGCUAGUUGGUGAGGUAACGGCUCACCAAGGCGAUGAUCAGUAGGGGGCGUGAGAGCGUGGUCCCCCACACGGGUACUGAGACACGGACCCGACUCCUACGGGAGGCAGCAGUAAGGAAUAUUGGUCAAUGGGCGAAAGCCUGAACCAGCCAUCCAGCGUGCAGGAAGAAGGCCCUAUGGGUUGUAAACUGCUUUUGUCAGGGAAUAAACCUCUCGAUUCAUCGGGAGCUGAAGGUACCUGAAGAAUAAGCACCGGCUAACUCCGUGCCAGCAGCCGCGG